AAGCAGUGAUGCAAACAAACAUUUGCUAUCUUGAAAAAUGUUGAAGACAUUUAAUCUACCACCUAGAUCUCUGAGCUU